ACCUCGGUGGAAGAUUACUAAUGAGAGUGGCGAACGGGUGAGUAACGCGUGAGCAACCUGCCUAUGACAGUGGGAUAGCCUCGGGAAACCGGGAUUAAUACCGCAUAAAAUCGUAGAAACACAUGUUUCAACGGUCAAAGAUUUAUCGGUCAUAGAUGGGCUCGCGUCUGAUUAGCUAGUUGGUGAGAUAACAGCCCACCAAGGCGACGAUCAGUAGCCGGUCUGAGAGGAUGAACGGCCACAUUGGAACUGAGACACGGUCCAAACUCCCACGGGAGGCAGCAGUGGGGAAUAUUGCACAAUGGGGGAAACCCUGAUGCAGCGACGCCGCGUGAACGAAGAAGGUAUUCGUAUCGUAAAGUUCUGUCCUAUGGGAAGAUAAUGACAGUACCAUAGAAGAAAGCUCCGGCUAAAUACGUGCCAGCCGCCGCGGUAA
rnacentral:rRNA from 2 species